AAAUUGAAGAGUUUGAUCAUGGCUCAGAUUGAACGCUGGCGGCAGGCCUAACACAUGCAAGUCGAACGGUAACAGGAAGCAGCUUGCUGCUUCGCUGACGAGUGGCGGACGGGUGAGUAAUGUCUGGGAAACUGCCUGAUGGAGGGGGAUAACUACUGGAAACGGUGGCUAAUACCGCAUAACGUCGCAAGACCAAAGAGGGGGACCUUCGGGCCUCUUGCCAUCAGAUGUGCCCAGAUGGGAUUAGCUUGUUGGUGAGGUAAUGGCUCACCAAGGCGACGAUCCCUAGCUGGUCUGAGAGGAUGACCAGCCACACUGGAACUGAGACACGGUCCAGACUCCUACGGGAGGCAGCAGUGGGGAAUAUUGCACAAUGGGCGCAAGCCUGAUGCAGCCAUGCCGCGUGUAUGAAGAAGGCCUUCGGGUUGUAAAGUACUUUCAGCGGGGAGGAAGGUGUUGCGGUUAAUAACCGCAGCAAUUGACGUUACCCGCAGAAGAAGCACCGGCUAACUCCGUGCCAGCAGCCGCGGUAAUACGGAGGGUGCAAGCGUUAAUCGGAAUUACUGGGCGUAAAGCGCACGCAGGCGGUCUGUCAAGUCGGAUGUGAAAUCCCCGGGCUCAACCUGGGAACUGCAUUCGAAACUGGCAGGCUUGAGUCUUGUAGAGGGGGGUAGAAUUCCAGGUGUAGCGGUGAAAUGCGUAGAGAUCUGGAGGAAUACCGGUGGCGAAGGCGGCCCCCUGGACAAAGACUGACGCUCAGGUGCGAAAGCGUGGGGAGCAAACAGGAUUAGAUACCCUGGUAGUCCACGCCGUAAACGAUGUCUACUUGGAGGUUGUGCCCUUGAGGCGUGGCUUCCGGAGCUAACGCGUUAAGUAGACCGCCUGGGGAGUACGGCCGCAAGGUUAAAACUCAAAUGAAUUGACGGGGGCCCGCACAAGCGGUGGAGCAUGUGGUUUAAUUCGAUGCAACGCGAAGAACCUUACCUGGUCUUGACAUCCACGGAAGUUUUCAGAGAUGAGAAUGUGCCUUCGGGAACCGUGAGACAGGUGCUGCAUGGCUGUCGUCAGCUCGUGUUGUGAAAUGUUGGGUUAAGUCCCGCAACGAGCGCAACCCUUAUCCUUUGUUGCCAGCGGUCCGGCCGGGAACUCAAAGGAGACUGCCAGUGAUAAACUGGAGGAAGGUGGGGAUGACGUCAAGUCAUCAUGGCCCUUACGACCAGGGCUACACACGUGCUACAAUGGCGCAUACAAAGAGAAGCGACCUCGCGAGAGCAAGCGGACCUCAUAAAGUGCGUCGUAGUCCGGAUUGGAGUCUGCAACUCGACUCCAUGAAGUCGGAAUCGCUAGUAAUCGUGGAUCAGAAUGCCACGGUGAAUACGUUCCCGGGCCUUGUACACACCGCCCGUCACACCAUGGGAGUGGGUUGCAAAAGAAGUAGGUAGCUUAACCUUCGGGAGGGCGCUUACCACUUUGUGAUUCAUGACUGGGGUGAAGUCGUAACAAGGUAACCGUAGGGGAACCUGCGGUUGGAUCACCUCCUUACCUUAAAGAAGC
rnacentral:rRNA from 2 species